GUGGAAAUACGCCAUGCUAUGCAUUUUUCUUUUCUUUUCUCACCAUUUCCAUUACAAUUUCAUUCUGUUGUCCUGCUCUGACCUGGCCAGAACCCUGGUCUUCGAACACUGGCUGCAAACAUAGAUGCUCAGAAAGUGUAACUGUUGAAUGACUCACUUGCUGAAAAUGAAUUUAAUAUUUUCAAAGCAAACAGCUAAGAAAGCCAACAAAGCUGCUUUAAACUUGUUUAAAAGUUGUAAAAAUCACCCUGGUUUGCACCCAAGUCACUGCUAAGGGGCCCAAUGGCAGGAAACAUCCAUUGGUGGGCACACUGCUUUCUGACCAUUCAUCCCGAUAACUCAGGAAAUCACUGCAAACACGCAAUCAAGUGGAGAAGACGGAACUGGCUGAAAAUUAAUUAAAAAAAAAAAAAAAAGACAAGUCGAAUGUGUUGGCUCACACCUAUAAUCCCAGCACUUUGGGAGGCCAAGGCAGGUGGAUUGCUCAACCCCAGGAGUUUGAGACCAGCCUAGGCAACAUAGUGAGACCCCAUCUCCACCCAAAAAAAAAAAAUAGCCAGGUGUGGUGGCACGCACCUGUAGACCCAGCUACUCAGGAGGUUAUGUUGGGAGGAUUGCUUGAGCCUGGGAGGUCAAGGCUGCAGUAAGCUAUGGUCACACCACUGUACUCCAGCCUGGGUGACAGUGUGAGACCCUGUCUCAAAAAAGAAAAGAGGCCACCCUGUCCAGACCACGCAGCUCCUGGUGGACAAAGCCCAGUUAGGGGCACAGCUCCCCACGGCGGGCAGGGCCAGGCCGGGACCCACAGCUCCCCACGGCGGGCAGGGCCAGGCCGGGACCCACAGCUCCCCAUGGCGGGAAGGGCCAGGCCGGGACCCACAGCUCUGA
rnacentral:lncRNA from 1 species